AGCAGAAUAUCGUGCCUCAUGGCUGAUGACUCCCUGUCAGGGAGACCUCAAGAGUUUUAUCACCUAAAUCCCAGGAUUAGUGUAUUAGCUAAGAGAACUUCUAAUUAUACUCAUUUUGUCCUCUACUAGAAGCGCAGUCAGAUGAAAGAGGAGAGAAUUCAUGGACUGUUGGUUUAACCAGUGUGGUUGGAGAGGUAGCAAUUCCAUCCUCCAAUCCACUGUCACUUUUAGAAUUCUAUAUAUUGCGAGGUCAGAAAUAAACUUCCUCUCUUUUCCCUC